rnacentral:rRNA from 1 species
UACGUAGGUGGCAAGCGUUGUCCGGAUUUAUUGGGUUUAAAGGGUGCGUAGGCGGCUUUGUAAGUCAGUGGUGAAAUAUGGCAGCUCAACUGUCAGAUUGCCAUUGAUACUGCGGAGCUUGAGUACAGAUGAGGUAGGCGGAAUUGACGGUGUAGCGGUGAAAUGCUUAGAUAUCGUCAAGAACACCUAUAGCGAAGGCAGCUUACUAGGCUGUAACUGACGCUGAGGCACGAAAAGUGUGGGGAUCAAACAGG